CAGUAGCCGCGGGAAUACGAAGGGGGCUAGCGUUGCUCGGAUUUACUGGGCGUAAAGCGCACGUAGGCGGAUCGAUCAGUCAGGGGUGAAAUCCCAGAGCUCAACUCUGGAACUGCCUUUGAUACUGUCGAUCUGGAGUAUGGAAGAGGUGAGUGGAAUUCCGAGUGUAGAGGUGAAAUUCGUAGAUAUUCGGAGGAACACCAGUGGCGAAGGCGGCUCACUGGUCCAUUACUGACGCUGAGGUGCGAAAGCGUGGGGAGCAAACAGGAUUAGAUACCCGCGUAGUCCCUGUCUCUUAUAC
rnacentral:rRNA from 1 species